ensembl:snRNA U2 U2 spliceosomal RNA
AUCGCUUCUCGGCCUUUUGGCUAAGAUCAAGUGUAGUAUCUGUUCUUAUCAGUUUAAUAAAAUUAAUGAAGUCCAAUUAAAUGAGGUUUUAUUAUAAUUUAGGUGGAUUAGGCUAAAUUCAGUCAUUAACCAGGGUCCUAUUUUUAGACAAUUUCUAUGAUCAUGCCUCUUC